UCCCCCUUUGCUCAUUUUCUUCACUCUCCACUCCCUCACACUCUCCUCCUCUCCUCCACCACGAAAUGCUGCUCCUCCUAGCAACCAUGGCCGGCCAUGGCCAUGGAAACCUCUCCAAGAUGCAACUCCCUCCUUCCUCAAGCUUCCCCUCACCAUGAGAGCUUCCCUCUCCCUCUCUUCUCCCCUAACCCUAGAUGAAUCCAGCUCUAUUUCUCCUUUCUCCUCUCACUAGAUUGGAUCUUGAUGUAGGUGCAUGUUGGUCCAAGCAUGGAGAAGGUUGAGCUAUCCUCAGAUCUGAAGUUCUUGAGCAAAAUCCAAAUCGAGUAAUUCAAAGUUCCGCAGAUAGGUAUUGAAAAGAUCUACAACUUGGCGUUGGUCGCAUCCUCAAAUUCGUUACGGAUUUUGCAUGGGGAUAUUUGGUUGAUACCCUGGUGAUAAACGAGAGAGGCAAUUGCUAAGUUGUGAUGCACUCAUACCUUUACUAGAUGCGAACAAUUCUGGAGAAGAAGAAGAAGUGGAAUCGGACGAGGAUUUUAUUUAUAUAUGUUGUUGGAAUUCUUAUAUUGAUGGAGUUGAAGAAGUACAGGGACAAAUAAGCCAAGGCAAGCCAUCUUUUGAUCUCUUGCUAUUUAUCCUUCUUGUUGUGCUCAUUGCUCCACUAUAUACUUGGUUCCUUGUAUCAUGUGUGAUUUUUGGUCCUCUACUCUAUGCAUACUUAUUCCCAAAGUAUGUUGAACCCCUUGUUGAUGCUUUGUAUACUUGCUCCCAAGUAUGUGAACCACCUUGUUGAUGUUAUGCAUGCUUACCCUAAGCAUGUAUGCCCCCUGACCAUAUCCAUGUUGUCAUCUUCUUAGUGGUAUGAUGAUUAACAUCAUGACCCGUGUUUGAAUCAUCUUAAUUAUGUUGUCCCUAUACAUGCUUAUCCUAAAGUAUGUAUGAUCCCCUUAACACCUCAAUUAUCAUCCCCUUAGUGGUAUGAUGGCUAGCAUCAUGACAUUGUGACUCUUAGUUCCUUCAUAAAACUAUAGGUUGGGAACCCCCUUGGAAAAAUACCUUGUUGAAAAGAAUUUUUGAAAACCUUGGGUGAGUUGGACUUACCCAAGUGUGUGUUUAUGAAAGGAAAGGUUCUUGGCAAAGAUGGUUGGAAAGAAAAUAUUGUUUUCGAAAACUUUGGCGCCUAAGUAUUCACCCGUGACAAUUAACCCGCGCAACCACAUUACCCUGGAGUGGGACGGGGCUUAGCUCGUAGUUUGUUCUUCUUAACAUGGGACACCGCACAACUAUAUAAGGGUAAGGUUACCCCUGAAUCCGGAUUGUCGUUGGUGGAGACAAUAGUAUAACGGGAGGCCUUCGGGGCUGACCCGUCCGGAAGACACUAUGGGUCUCCUGGCUUGGCGGUGGAGCCACGCUCAAAGUGAGGUGAGCUGCCACGGUGCCGGGGAGGUACAUACUCCAUAGGGUAGGAUCCCGUGCUAAGUCGAAUAGGCGAAAGGCUAUGUCCGAGUUUUUGUCAUGGCAUAGUUGAUAUGCGGGGAUGAUGCCCACAUGAUAAACUCGCGGAUCUUGUGGGGAAAGUGUGCAAACUCUGCAGAGUCAAAUCUAUUCGAAUAGCCGUGUCCGCGGUCAUGGACGGUUGGAAUGGCUGUUGCUUAGCCUGAUGAGUUUUGGUUUACAAAAAUUGUUUGGCAAAUGAAAGGAAAGAACUUGUUUUGAAGUACCGGAAGGGUACGGGAAAGGAUGUGUCGACCAUAUGGAGAUGGUCGGGAAGGAUAAAUAAAAUUGGGUUACCUCAUCCUAGUGUUUUAUGUUGUGGAACUCUUUUGA